rnacentral:tRNA from 1 species
GCAAUAGUAGUUCAGUGGUAGACUUCUCACCUUCCAUGUAGGAGACCUGGGUUCAAUUCCCGGCCAAUGUA